CAUUACAGACUAACUAAAGUUGAAAAAGUGAAAAAGCAUAAUAGGACCCCUUUAAAGGUUAAUUUUUCCAAAUGUGACUUGGACGCAGAUCUGUGUUAGCAAAUGUGAAUCAGAGUUUAAAGGUUAAACUUUUAGACAGAAGUAUUGCCAUUUCUAGCAACUUCUAUGUUAAACAAACAGGAUAGCAACACCUUUUCAAGGGUUUGACGUCUAUGCUUGGUGAGAGAGUGAGUAAUGCUCUCUGUAGACUAUUGUCUUUGCUUUAACACAAAAUAGCUGUGAAGAUCCAUCAUCAGUGAAAUCAAGCUUAACAAGUUAAUCAUGAUCACUAAACCUGUACCAAACCCUGAUGCUGUCAAUCAUAUAUCAUAAUGUAUCUGAAAACUGUCUGAAUACAUUAUAUAAGUUUGAUUGUCCAGAUGAUGUGCUUGUGGUGGCUUGCUUCAUGCUUCAAGUAUGGCAUGUUCCAAAGCUGCCAGUUUACUACUCUAUAUGGUCCAAAAGAGACUAACAACGCACAGUGCUCUAACUCGCACAAAGCUGAUAGUGUGUUAUUUCAAAAUUGUUUACAUGGAGAAGAUUUUUGGAGUCUAAAAGGCAAGAGGAGCGGCAAAAGCCUACCUUGCUGUAGACGUAUGUAUUUGAGCUCUGGUUUUAGCAUUAUUUAUUUCGUUUUUAUUUUCCUUGUGUCUUGCUAAAUAGUGGAGGCAUGAAAUGUUUGGGGUUGUGACUAUUCAAUGUAAUUUUAAUAGCAGUGGCAUAGUAAAUUAGUUUUAUUACCUGAAUAUGACAAUUAGACUUGAAGCUAAACCACUGUUGGCAUGUAGGAUUUCACCUGUGUUUUAACUACAGAUGCUAAAUACUUUAAAAAAAAUAAAUGUGGAACAAUCACUGGUAGUAAACUUAAUAUAUUUCCUUUACCUUAAAUGUCAACUUGGAAUCAAAA